GACGAACGCUGGCGGCGUGCUUAACACAUGCAAGUCGAACGGAAAGGCCCUGCUUUUGUGGGGUGCUCGAGUGGCGAACGGGUGAGUAACACGUGAGUAACCUGCCCUUGACUUUGGGAUAACUUCAGGAAACUGGGGCUAAUACCGGAUAGGAGCUCCUGCUGCAUGGUGGGGGUUGGAAAGUUUCGGCGGUUGGGGAUGGACUCGCGGCUUAUCAGCUUGUUGGUGGGGUAGUGGCUUACCAAGGCUUUGACGGGUAGCCGGCCUGAGAGGGUGACCGGCAACAGUGGGACUGAGAUACGGCCCAGACUCCUACGGGAGGAAGCAGUGGGGAAUAUUGAACAAUGGGCGGAAGCCUGAUGCAGCAACGCCGCGUGCGGGAUGAAGGCCUUCGGGUUGUAAACCGCUUUCGCCUGUGACGAAGCGUGAGUGACGGUAAUGGGUAAAGAAGAACCGGCUAACUACGUG
rnacentral:rRNA from 1 species